UACGAAGGGGGCUAGCGUUGCUCGGAAUUACUGGGCGUAAAGGGCGCGUAGGUGGCCUUGUUAGUCAGGCGUGAAAUUCCUGGGCUCAACCUGGGGGCUGCGCUUGAUACGGCAGGGCUUGAGGGUGGAAGAGGCUCGUGGAAUUCCCAGUGUAGAGGUGAAAUUCGUAGAUAUUGGGAAGAACACCGGUGGCGAAGGCGGCGAGCUGGUCCAUACCUGACACUGAGGCGCGACAGCGUGGGGAGCAAACAGG
rnacentral:rRNA from 1 species